UUAUAUUCCUGAAACUCGGGAAUUUCGCCAAACUGUGUAAUAGUUAUCAAUAAAAAAAUAACAAUAGAUACCCCGGCUAGACCAACGACGCAACACUUGGUAAGCGAGGGUGCGAGAAACGAUAGCAUGGGUAGCACAGCAAGCAAACGAUGAGGCACAUGUCUUCCCCGUACAUUGAUAUUGUUCAGUUGAGUGCGAUCACACAAGACAACAGUUACUGUCCUCUUCUACGAUGAUUUGGGAUAUCCGAGCAGGGCAGUCAGCGGUGUCAACUGCACUGAAAAUCCCACUAUUGUCGACCGACGUUAGUCAGUUGUCAACGUAUGGUGCACUACUGACGUCGAUCCUCGGCAUUCGCAAUGCAAAUUUACGCCCGCGCGAUAAUCGUGCCUUGCUCGUGCGGAAAGAGCGCUCGACCGCGCAGUUCUGCAACCGUCCGAGUUCGAUUGAUACCUACAUUGUAUUGAAGAAGCGUCCGGCGAGUUGUCCACUUUGGUCGGUCCGAUGGAACUCGAACACAUCGUUGAUCCGAUGGGAAGAACCGUCUUCGCUCGAUCAAGUGCGCCUUCCAACUGAGUCCAUCAUCGCACUCGAACUGCGGAGGAGGUGACUCAGCUGACGACGACGCGGCACUCGCUCUGUCUGUCUGGCUGGAUGCAUUCUACUCUACAUACUUGGCCCGCGGGAGAUCUUGGGAAUCUCGCUCGUUCGACGGAUCCAGUCCGAUGACUGUGUGGUGCCUCUGUUUUCUCUGUAUGCAGUGGGCCACUCAAGUGUGUGCCUGCCGUGCACUGUGCGCGUUCUCACUGCUGAAGUGACCACCGAAAGGUGUACAACACACUACAGUUCGUGUCGCGGUUUCGAGUGUUUCAAGUUUCGGACUUUAGCUGGCUGUAGCUGCGUGGAAUUUAGCCGAAAAUAAUCGAACGAAAACAAGGAAAACAUAUUGUCUGAAGGCCCACUAAAUGGCCAAUCGGUACCAACGUGAAAAUCAUCAGUUUUAAAGAGGACUAGUGUGCGUAAAAGUAGAACACCAAUUUUUUCGCGAAAGAAAGAUAUCUUCGGACAAAAGAAUAAUCGUGCUCGUGAUUGAAGUGAUUCAGGUGAUUGAAAAGUGACAAUCUGUCUGAUCGAAGGACUUUACUCUUCCGUUAACUCAGGUGACGGUAGACCUGUAAUAGCUGCAAUUCUCGGAACAACGCAUUCUUGGUCUGCAUUGCGGAAUAAUUGUUCGGUUUUUGUGCUCUUCCAUACGGAACUUGUGAUUCUACAAUCAUCGCGCAGUACGAAGCCGAGGGAUCAGCCCGGCCAGCAGCGGGUGGGUGGUAUCUGGUGGGGCGACGCGACGUCAGGCGCCCGCUCGGAACAGACUUGGGGACGUUGUUGGAUGUAGUGGUGAUACUUAGCUAACGACGACGACGACAUCGCGACGCACAUGUGCAGUGGUGACACUCUCAUCGGUCCAGUUUAGUGUGGUGGAUUUAUUCACGACGGGCGACCGCUCAGGAUUAGUGUUGCAAGUGCCAAUCUCGGCGCAUCGGUCAGCAGCAACAACAACAACAACAACAAAAAUCCGGUCACCCUGCGUGGUUCUUCUCUAAACGGUGUGAUUCGAGAAGAUGUGUGAUCGUCAUCUUCCUGCCGCUGCUACUUCUAAUGUGUGAAAAUCGAAAGAGAUAAAGUGACGGUGAUGGUAGCGAAGCGAUGAUGGUGCUUUAGCUGUUGAUGCUGCUGAUGAUGAUGAUAAGCAGAUAUUUUUAGCGUGAAGAACGCGGAUGAAAAACGCGAGUGAUGUGAAGCAGAUCGUGUGGAAUCGGAAGAAAUCUGCGGAAAGUGCCUGUGUUGUUUAUUGGA